AAGUGAACUGCGCUUUGACACUCCUCGUCAACUUGCCCAUAAAACCAACCAAGAACACAUCAUAAACCUCUUUAGCCAGACAUACGGCAAAAUGAUUUCAAGAAACACUACAACACAGAAUCGUGCUGUAGUACCCUUGUGGAAUACCAAGGACCAACUCCUGAGAAAACCGUCAAUUCCUACUGUAGCAGCAGUAGAUCCUGUCGCGAGAAACGUUUACAGGAUGGGUUCAAAUCGUAGAGGUUUUGUGUGCAUCCUUAACUACAACUCGUUUUGUGGUCGCCCAGAUCUGAGUCUCAAGGACGCG